rnacentral:tRNA from 1 species
GUGCUUGUAGUCCAACGGUUAGGAUAAUUGCCUUUCAAGCAAUAGACUUGGGUUCAACUUCUGGCAGACGCA